rnacentral:rRNA from 1 species
CACCUCUUCCCAUUCCGAACAGAGAAGUUAAGCCCAACCACGUCGAUGGUACUGCGUAAAAGUGGGAGAGUAGAUAGCCGCCGUUU